GUGUGUGUGCGCCAGAAAACUGGCAGAACAUCUUCUAAAGUACAUAUGUACCCU
rnacentral:sRNA from 1 species